AUGAAAGCUCAUCAAAAAAAAAAAAACAGAAAAAGAAGAAAGAAAAGAAGAAAUCUGGUAGGUUCUUCAGAUUCUGAAGAUGAGGAAAAGAAGCAAGCAAAAAGGAGAAAGAAAAAGAAGAACCGUUCGCAUAAAUCUUCUGAAAGCUCCAUGUCAGAAACUGAAUCAGACAGUAAGGAUAGUUUAAAAAAGAAAAGGAAGUCAAAGGAUGCAACUGAGAAAGAGAAGGACAUUAAAGGACUCAGCAAAAAAAGAAAGAUGUAAAGAUGUAUCCUGAAGAUAAACCUUUAUCAUGAGUCCUUAUCUGAAUCAGAUUAUAUUGAAGAGGUAUGAGCAAAAAAGAAGAAAAGCAGUGAAGAACGAGAAAAAGCAACAGAAAAAUCAAAAAAGAAAAAGAAGCAUAAGAAACACAGUAAGAAGAAGAAAAAGAAGGCUGCUAGUUCAAGUCCUGACUCACCAUAACAUUAACAAAGACCAGGAUUCUCUUAUGAAGAAAGUGCAAUGUCUAAGGAAAUUUCAACUGUGAAAAUUAUGAUAUAUUUACUAAAAUGCAUGAAUUUUCUUGUUUUUAGAACUGUUCUUGGACUAUUCAAUAGCCACUCAGAUGCUGCUAUGUGAAAGGGCCAUAAUUGUUGCUUGCUACUUGAACAUCUACUUUUGCUCCUCCAGGGUGUGAUAACCUUGGGAGAUGAUACACUGCAGUCGUACUAGUGGUUAAGAUAUUUGGGGAUAAAGCUAAUAUUUUUGACUAGAAGUAUCUAGUGGUAAAUCAACAGAAAUUCAAUCUGGAUACAUCUUUAAGAUAUAAUCAGAAAUGGCCAGAUGACUCUAGUUAAAUUUUUUAAAGUAGGGAUUACAUUAAUAUUUUGAAUUCCUUAUUCUGUAGAUAGGUGUAAUUUUUCCCCAGUAUACUUUUAUUUACCUUGGGAAGGAGCUUUUCGGGUGGAGGGAGGGGUGGUUUGCUCUCUCUUUAGCUUGCAGAAUAGUGUGCCUUUGAUCCUCACACAUCCUACUUUCAUGGACACAGUAACCAUGCUUACUGGGGAGGUCGGAGGUGGGUAACCAGAGAAACAGCCCUUUGCAGCAUGAGAAAGCCCCAAAGUUCUGGGUUUACCUCCACAUCAAUAACAACUGAAUGUUUUUUACCUUUAGAAUAUGUUAAUAUCAUUUAAAUUAAUUUUUGACUAUACUUUGGCUUUGGAGAGGAAUUGUUUCAUAUAGACACUGGUACCUUCUGAACUUAUUAGCUAAAUAUUCUAAAGUGCAUGUUUUAUACUGUUGAGUUUUAACCAGUCAGGAAAAUUUUAUGUAACCAAUGAUAGUUUAUUUUUUUGUAUGAAUUUGUUUAGGCUGCCAUAUUUAGCUUUUGUUAACUCUUUACUCUUGCUGUCUCAAGUUCAUUAUUAUGUUUAAUGGCACCCUUGCCAGGAUAUUUAGCAUAUAAAAAAAGGAGAUUUUGAUUUUUUGUUUUUAAACAGCUUCAUAGUGAAGCUGAGACUUAUAAACAAGUUGAGGCCGGGGAUUUAGCUCAGUGGUUCCACUGCCUGCUUCAUAAGCGAAAGGUCCUGAGUUCGAUCCCCAGUGCAAAAAAACAAAACAAAAAAACAAGUUGUGUGGCAGACCUGGUAUGCUAUAUGUUGUUACAUAAAGCUAUUGCCAGACUCUCAGUAAAUACAGUGUUUUAAAAAAAAAGAAUCCAAGUAAAACGAGGGAUUGAGCUGUGCAACUGUGUAUCUGGGAAGACAGCAAGCCACACAGUUAUGAGAGAGGAGCAUGCCCACUGCAUGUGAGGACAAGGGCAGCUGGAGAACAUAACUAAAAGGAAAAAUGGGGGGGGGGGGAAUGGCAGAAAUGCAGGAAUCAGAGGCUAAACUGGGUAAAUCACUAAAGAGCUGUGUUUUGAUCAGUCUGAUAAGAAACUACCCAAAGGUAGUGUGAUCUAAUUUUAAGAGACCAACCUUGUUGCUGUAUGAAAUCAGCAGGAGGGCAGGAGUGGAAGUGAGAGCCUAUUACCUAUUAGCAGAAUAACGUAAUUGUCCAGGCAAGGGGCAAUGGCUGGUGACUUGGACUAAUUAGGUUGAUCUUGAAGGUAGAGAUUAAAAAGUCAAAGGAUGAGGAUAUCAAGGUUUGUGGUAGAAAUAUAGUAGUGCCCUCAAUAAACUGGCCAACAGUGAGAGUACUGCAACUUUAGCUGGAAAAAUAGCAACAGUUCUGUUUGAGAUUCUUUUGAGGUGUUCAGGUGAAAAUGAUGUGCAAAGAGUUGUAUAUGCGUGUUUGGAGUUAAAAGAGUAGUUUCAGAAUAGAAACUAUCAAUGUAUAGAUUUAGUAAUCAUCAGUACAUAGAUGGUACUUUAAACCACUGGACUGGAUCAAAUCACCUAGGAGGAAAGUAUAUAUAGAAAAGAGGUCCAAGGAAAAGUAGGUGUUACUCUCAUGCAUUAGAUGACAUCUGCAAAGCCAAGUAACUUAGUGACAGCUGUGGCAUAAUAGUCUCUGACACACUAAAUGAUUAAUGUAACUUCUUUUACAACAUGAUUGCUUUAAUCAAAUGAACAGACUCUUUAUAUAAC
rnacentral:lncRNA from 1 species